GAGGUGUUAGCUCAGCUGGUCAGAGCAGGGGACUCAUAAUCCUCCGGUCGCAGGUUCAAGUCCUGCACACCUCACGA
rnacentral:tRNA from 1 species